UGGGGAAUAUUGCACAAUGGGCGGAAGCCUGAUGCAGCGACGCCGCGUGAGGGAUGACGGCCUUCGGGUUGUAAACCUCUUUCAGUAGGGAAGAAGCCGCAAGGUGACGGUACCUGCAGAAGAAGCGCCGGCUAACUACGUG
rnacentral:rRNA from 1 species